CAGAGGUCCCAAGCGUUGUUCGGAUUCACUGGGCGUAAAGGGUGCGUAGGUGGCUUGGUAAGUUUGAUGUGAAAUCUCCGGGCUUAACCCGGAAAUGGCAUUGAAUACUACUUUAGCUGGAGGUUUGGAGGGGGGACUGGAAUUCUCGGUGUAGCAGUGAAAUGCGUAGAUAUCGAGAGGAACACCAGUGGCGAAGGCGAGUCCCUGGACAACACCUGACACUGAGGCACGAAAGCUAGGGGAGCAAACAGGAUUAGAUACCCUGGUAGUCCUAGCUGUAAACGGUGCAUAUUUGCUGUAAAAGGAAUCGACCCCUUUUGUGGCGAAGCUAACGCGAUAAAUAUGCCGCCUGGGAAGUACGGUCGCAAGAUUA
rnacentral:rRNA from 1 species